CGAGCAGCGGCCGUUGACACAUCGAUCGACAUCGCUCCGCAUUUUGCGCGUCCUUUACCUGUCGAAAGUGAGUUCCCGCGCGGAAAUAAGUAUCGGGAGUGCUGAGAACAGCGAUCUGUGAUCGUCGGGACGUAAGACGAUGGGAAUUUCCAACGGAUUUGGAGCUCCAACAGAAGCGAAGAGGGAGGAGCUGAGUACAAAAACGUGUGUGAUCACAUUGAGGCUCUGUAGCGUAUUGAGAGCGUUGAUUGUUGUCACAUCUCGCGCUCACCGAGUGUUUACGUCAUUCAGCGGCGACGACAGUUGAUGUUUGAUGGGGGGUGACUUUUUGCCGACUGCUUUGAUUGUCGUGCGCGACGCGUACGUGUCCGGGAACCGUGUUAUUACGUCUCGAGCCGACGUUUGGGACACAUAAAAUAUAUGGACCCUUCUCGUAAUAAUCGGGAUAUAUCGUCGGCAUCGCGUCGAUUCACACGUUUCUCCGAUCAAAUCACGAGUGUCAGUGUCACGAGGAAGUAUCAUGACGUAGCAGCCAGAUGCCAGGAUGGAGGACGCGGGAUGCCGAGACGCCGGUGCAACGCAUCAUAUAUUUCUAGAGGCACGCCACGAUGAGGAGUAGAGGAUAGGAGGAGGGGAUGCGGAGGCAGGCUAAUGAAUUCUGGCAGAGGGUGUCGGGAACGUAAAUCCACCUCCCUCGGUUUGCAACGCGAACGACGAGACGCCGAGAACGGUGCGAAGAGAGAAGAGGAGAGGAGAGGACAGAGUGGAGGCGCCUAAGCAGCGGCCAAGAGGGGUGCGUGUACAAUGGAGCGGCGAGACCGAAACUGUCGAAUCGUCGGCGGCGUUAAAAAAUCCUGGGUGUCAAUGGAGUAAUCCGUCCCCUCGAGCGGUGGCUCGUCAUGUGCCGUAGCAGCGACAAAACGGCCGACGUCGUAUUUUUGCGGCGCAAUGAUCGCGCGACGUGGCACCGGGCAAAACAAUAGCAUCGCCCGCGGCACGAUGAUAAAGCCGAUGCGACGCGACGCGACGCGACGCCACGCCACGCCACGCGUGCAUCCGCGCGCGCGUGCAGUUGCAGCGAUGUAGCUGCAAAAGUUUUCGCGCAGCUCGUUGAUCUGCUCUGAAACCAGGCGCGGAUUCACGCGGAUCUGUACUACUGGGAAAUGCGAAACGAAUGAAUUCCGAGCGAGUCGAGAUAUGCAAGUAAUUGGACGAUCCAUUUGACGCUUCGAACGCUUCGGGGCGCCGUACAAUCAGAGUCUUCUUUUAGGCGCUCCAAGCGCCCGCAGCCCCAACUGGACUUCAUUCCUGCACUGAGAGAAAUGGCUUGACACUAUACUCGUCUUAUGAAAAUAAUAUGGUGAAUUUAUAUGCGAUAUCUGGUUCACAUAUCCGAUAUUCUGAUUACGAUGCCUCG